GGGUGUUGUCCUAACCAGGUAUCGCUGUGCCAGAGGGUCCACAUCUCUGGAAUCUUUUCAUUGCCACCUGAAAAGGUUCAUUCCAGGCACCAGUGCAAAUGCACUGAAUUUUCAGCUGUACCUCCUGGAAGGCCUGAACAGGUGGAACCAGGACCGGGGGACUGCGGCGGUGACCAGCAGGCCAUCAUCUCUGCUCACCUACUCCGGGGAUGUGACCCAGUGUGUCAACAGCAGCAGCUUGAAGGUGUUUGGCCGGGCAUUUGUGCCAAACUUCAGGCCACCCUCCAAAUACACCGGAGAGCUGCUUGGUGUUGACUAUCUGUUAAGUCAGACUGGGCAGCCCUUACAGGUCAGCCCU